CCUACGGGGGGCUGCAGUCGAGAAUCAUUCACAAUGGGGGAAACCCUGAUGGUGCGACGCCGCGUGGGGGAAUGAAGGUCUUCGGAUUGUAAACCCCUGUCAUGUGGGAGCAAAUUAAAAAGAUAGUACCACAAGAGGAAGAGACGGCUAACUCUGUGCCAGCAGCCGCGGUAAUACAGAGGUCUCAAGCGUUGUUCGGAAUCACUGGGCGUAAAGCGUGCGUAGUCUGUUUCGUAAGUCGUGUGUGAAAGGAGCGGGCUCAAACCGCGGACGGCACAUGAUACUGGGAGAUGAGAGUAAUGGAGGAGGAACGGGAAAUGUCGGUGUAGCAGGGAAAAGCGU
rnacentral:rRNA from 1 species